CGAGUCGGUCGGGCGACCGCGUCGGGGCCUCACCGGCUCCGUCGAGGAAAGUCCGGACUCCACAGGGCAGGGUGGUUGUCAACGGCAACCCGGGGUGACCCGCGGGACAGUGCCACAGAGAACAGACCGCCUCCGGCCUCGGGAUUUCUCGGGACCGGGGGUAAGGGUGAAACGGUGGUGUAAGAGACCACCAGCACCUCGGGCGACCGGGGUGGCUAGGUAAACCCCACCCGGAGCAAGGUCAAGAGGCUGCGUGCGAGCGCAGCUGCGCAGGUGCUCGAGGGCGGCCCGCCCGAGCCUGCGGGUAGACCGCUGGAGCCUGCCGGCAACGGCAGGCCGAGAUGGAUGGUCGCCGAACGGAACGUCGUGAGACGUCCGGGAACAGGAUCCGGCUUACAGACCGGCUCGUCCG
rnacentral:RNase_P_RNA from 1 species